UGAUACUGCACCGACUGCGGCUGGUUUGGAUAUUCGUAAUCCUGCAGAGGGAACGGUCAUGAUUACCUGCAGGGCUCUGGAGCCUGUUUUAAUUACAGCUUGUUUGGAAGCGGCAGACUACAGAGUUACCACUCCGGUCCAGCAAUCCCUUCUAGAGCUCUCUCCUUACAAGGUUAAUACCCUUCAAAGACAGAAGAGAUGCCUUUAGAAAAGGCUGUGCCUUGCAGGGAAUUCAUCUUUGAAAGAGAAUCUACACUAGAGCAGGCAGGCUGGAACGAGGAACAAGGCUCGAACAAGACAGAAGCUGCAGUGGGAUGGGAAGCUGGAGACCGAAGGAAGGAACUGGGAACCAAGGCACAGCAGGGGUGUUGGCAGUCGAUCUGCCUCCCUCAGUGCUGUCAAUCGAAACUCUGAAACUCCACCAAGUGCCGUAAAAGACGAUCCGAAAACCAAAGUUAAAAUUCUGUCAUGCAUGCUGUUAUGCAUGAUGGAAAUCAUAAAUGUGGAGUAAACCCCUUUCCUCACCAUCGUUGUGAAUGGUCCUGGUGCUCGGAUAUUCAUUAGACCCUGUUGGAAUGAUUGCUAUGCUAAUCCUUUAUAAGAACUAAAAUGCACUUUAAUUUAAGAGAGAUUAGGAGUAUGUGAUCCAGAAAGGCAAAAUCCUUUGUUUUCCUACAUGACAGGAUAGCCAUAUAAAAGGAAAGCUUUUAUAACACCCUCAACUGUAUAGGGCUGCUAAUGCUCUAUACACUAAGUAAUUAUUCCUGGUGCACCUUCUUAAUAAAAAGCUCUGGAAAAUACAUGUGAAUCUCAACCACUUCUACAAUGAUUAAAGACUUCUAAAUGAAAACAGUUUCCACACAAAAGGAGAUAAGCUGGACCUCUAGCUAAUGUGAGAUGAAAAAAAACAAAACAGUACAGUAGUUGAAAGGAAGAGACUUGGCAAGUAAGCAAUACUUUAUCCCUCUUGUGUGUUCCAACAUUGUACUGAUUUGAAUGCGAAUCAGUGGCUGUUUAACCAGGCAUGCAGUCUUAUUUACAAUGUCAGUUUAAACACCCUUGUGAAGGUGUAAUCCUUCCCCAAUUCAGAGCAGUCAAAACUCAUAAAUACUCUAAUUGUUAUUUAAAGUGGUUAUUGGCAAACUGGCCAAGUUCCUUUCUGAUCUGCCUUAGCAUCGGUGCAAGGCAGCGCUAACCUCUUUAAGACAGUUCAUUAAGAUUGGAUCACACGUGAAAUC